rnacentral:misc_RNA from 1 species
CCAAUAGCGUAUAUUAAAGUUGUUGCAGUUAAAAAGCUCGUAGUUGAAUUUCGGGAUUAGUACGCUGGUCGUGCCUUCGGUAUGUACUGGUGUUACUGGUUCCUACCUUCUGACGAACCGUCAUGUCAUUAAUUUGGUGUGGCGGGAAAUCAGGACUGUUACUUUGAAAAAAUUAGAGUGUUUAAAGCAGGCUCGCGCUUGAAUACAUUAGCAUGGAAUAAUGAAAUAGGACGUUCGAUCCUAUUUUGUUGGUUUCUAGGAUUGACGUAAUGAUUAAUAGGGAUAGUUGGGGGCAUUAGUAUUCAAUUGUCAGAGGUGAAAUUCUUGGAUUUAUUGAAGACUAACUUCUGCGAAAGCAUUUGCCAAGGAUGUUUUCAUUAAUCAAGAACGAAAGUUAGGGGAUCGAAGACGAUCAGAUACCGUCGUAGUCUUAACCAUAAACUAUGCCGACUAGGGAUCGGAUGAUGUUAAUUUUUUAAUGACUCAUUCGGCGCCUUACG